rnacentral:lncRNA from 1 species
GAAAAAUCCACUUUCUUGGUAGGCUCUUCUCCGUGGUCUCCGAGGAGGGCAUGGCCAUCAGGAUGAGGACAUUUCCUCGCCGUUCUCCUCACGUAGCCCCUUUUCCUUCUGUCUUCCCUCCCACCUCCUGAUCCAUGCCUUUGACUUGGGUGACCUGAGCCUGUAGAAUCACGGAAUGGUAAUACAAGGCAGGAGUUUGCUCCUGAUUGCUUCGAAACCUUAAAAAAUGGGCAGGAGAUAACGAUUUGCCCGUGGUCUCCUGGGACACGCCAAGCAGCAGAGUAGUCCUGUUUCUUCAUACAGACCAGACUUGAUCUUCAGGUUGCAGCAAAGGGAAGCAUCUUGGUUCUCAGAUGAGAAACUCUCAAACCAGAGUCACCCAGGUGAGCUGCUGAGCAGUAGCCGAACUCUGUGGGAGCAGACUCCAAAUGAUCACUUU